AUUGAACGCUGGCGGCAGGCCUAACACAUGCAAGUCGAGCGGAUGAAGGGAGCUUGCUCCUGGAUUCAGCGGCGGACGGGUGAGUAAUGCCUAGGAAUCUGCCUGGUAUUGGGGGAUAACGUCCGGAAACGGGCGCUAAUACCGCAUACGUCCUGAGUGUGAACGUGGGGGUUCUUCGGACCUCACGCUAUCAGAUGACCCUAAGUCGGGUUAGCUAGUUGGUGGGGUAAGGGCCUACAAAGGCGACGAUCCGUAACUGGUCUGAGAGGGUGACCAGUCACACUGGAACUGAGACACGGUCCAGACUCCUACGGGAGGCAGCAGUGGGGAAUAUUGGACAAUGGGCGAAAGCCUGAUCGAGCCAUGCCGCGUGUGUGAAGAAGGUCUUCGGAUUGUAAAGCACUUUAAGUUGGGAGGAAGGGCAGUAAGUUAAUACCUUGCUGUUUUGACGUUACCAACAGAAUAAGCACCGGCUAACUUCGUG
rnacentral:rRNA from 1 species